rnacentral:piRNA from 1 species
UAACUGAUGGCCUCCUAAUACCAAGAUGGU